CAAGGAGAUCUCCUGUCUAGACUUUCAAGUUUAUGUAAGUCUGGAAAAUUCCAAAUCCAUUCUUUAUACCUUUCUUUACUUCCAGUUUUUCCUAGAAUGGAGUGGAAGAGCUUGAUGGCUACCACAAAUGUCUUGCCUAGAUAUAAAUUUACUGUGUGGAUGGCUGCCCAUGGUAGAUUGCCAACAGUUGACAGACUACUCAAAU
rnacentral:lncRNA from 1 species